CCUACGGGGGGCAGCAGUGGGGGAUAUUGCACAAUGGGGGGAACCCUGAUGCAGCGACGCCGCGUGGGUGAAGGAGCGUUUCGGCGCGUAAAGCCCUAUCGGCAGGGAAGAAGACGACGGUACCUGACCAAGAAGCCCCGGCUCACUACGUGCCAGCAGCCGCGGUAAUCCGUCGGGGGCAAGCGUUAUCCGGCUUUUCUGGGUGUAAAGGGGGCGCAGACGGCCAUGCCAGCCAGGAGUGAAAGCCCGGGGCCCAACCCCGGGACUGCUCUUGGCCCUGCCUGGCUGGAGGACCGUCGGGGCCG
rnacentral:rRNA from 1 species